GAUGAACGCUGGCGGCGUGCCUAACACAUGCAAGUCGAGCGAUUCUCUUCGGAGAAGAGCGGCGGACGGGUGAGUAACGCGUGGGUAACCUGCCCUGUACACACGGAUAACAUACCGAAAGGUAUGCUAAUACGAGAUAAUAUGCUUUUAUCGCAUGGUAGAAGUAUCAAAGUUUUUGCGGUACAGGAUGGACCCGCGUCUGAUUAGCUAGUUGGUAAGGUAACGGCUUACCAAGGCGACGAUCAGUAGCCGACCUGAGAGGGUGAUCGGCCACAUUGGAACUGAGACACGGUCCAAACUCCUACGGGAGGCAGCAGUGGGGAAUAUUGCACAAUGGGCGAAAGCCUGAUGCAGCAACGCCGCGUGAGCGAUGAAGGCCUUCGGGUCGUAAAGCUCUGUCCUCAAGGAAGAUAAUGACGGUACUUGAGGAGGAAACCCCGGCUAACUACGUG
rnacentral:rRNA from 1 species